rnacentral:rRNA from 1 species
UACGGAGGGUGCAAACGUUGCUCGGAAUUAUUGGGCGUAAAGCGCUCGUAGGCGGCUUGUUAAGUCGGGUGUGAAAGCCCAGGGCUCAACCCUGGAAGUGCACUCGAAACUGGCGAGCUUGAAUAUGGAAGAGGGUCGCGGAAUUCCCGGUGUAGAGGUGAAAUGCGUAGAUAUCGGAAGGAACAUCAGUGGCGAAAGCGGCUUCCUGGUCCAGCACCGACGUUCAGGCACGAAAGCGUGGGGAGCAAACAGG